rnacentral:rRNA from 1 species
AACGAACGCUGGCGGCAUGCCUAACACAUGCAAGUCGAACGAGACCUUCAGGUCUAGUGGCGCACGGGUGCGUAACGCGUGGGAAUCUGCCCUUGGGUUCGGAAUAACUGUUAGAAAUGACUGCUAAUACCGGAUAAUGUCUUCGGACCAAAGAUUUAUCGCCCAGGGAUGAGCCCGCGUAGGAUUAGCUAGUUGGUGAGGUAAAGGCUCACCAAGGCGACGAUCCUUAGCUGGUCUGAGAGGAUGAUCAGCCACACUGGGACUGAGACACGGCCCAGACUCCUACGGGAGGCAGCAGUGGGGAAUAUUGGACAAUGGGCGAAAGCCUGAUCCAGCAAUGCCGCGUGAGUGAUGAAGGCCUUAGGGUUGUAAAGCUCUUUUACCCGGGAUGAUAAUGACAGUACCGGGAGGAUAAGCCCCGGCUAACUCCGUGCCAGCAGCCGCGGUAAU